rnacentral:rRNA from 1 species
UACGGAGGGUGCAAACGUUGCUCGGAAUCAUUGGGCGUAAAGCGCACGUAGGCGGUCCUUUAAGUCGGGUGUGAAAGCCCUCGGCUCAACCGAGGAAGUGCAUUCGAAACUGAGGGACUUGAAUACUGGAGAGGAUGGCGGAAUUCCCGGUGUAGAGGUGAAAUUCGUAGAUAUCGGGAGGAACACCAGCGGCGAAGGCGGCCAUCUGGACAGAUAUUGACGCUGAGGUGCGAAAGCGUGGGGAGCAAACAGG